AGAGUUUGAUCAUGGCUCAGAACGAACGCUGGCGGCAGGCCUCAAACAUGCAAGUCUAGGGGGUGUAGCAAUACAUCACCGGCGGACGGGUGCGUAACGCGUGGGAAUGUACCUAUUGGUUCGGAACAACACAGGGAAACUUGUGCUAAUACCGAAUGUGCCCGAAAGGGGAAAGAUUUAUCGCCAAUGGAUCAGCCCGCGUUCGAUUAGCUAGUUGGUGAGGUAAUGGCUCACCAAGGCGACGAUCGAUAGCUGUUCUGAGAGGAAGAUCAGCCACACUGGGACUGAGACACGGCCCAGACUCCUACGGGAGGCAGCAGUUGGGAAUCUUGGACAAUGGGGGAAACCCUGAUCCAGCCAUGCCGCGUGAGUGAUGAAGGCCUUCGGGUUGUAAAACUCUUUCGCGCACGACGAUAAUGACGGUAGUGCGAGAAGAAGCUCCGGCUAACUUCGUGCCAGCAGCCGCGGUAAUACGAAGGGGGCUAGCGUUGUUCGGAAUUACUGGGCGUAAAGCGCGCGCAGGCGGUUCUUCAAGUCAGUGGUGAAAGCCCGGAGCUCAACUCCGGAACUGCCAUUGAAACUGUAGAACUUGAGGAUGAGAGAGGUGAGUGGAAUUCCCAGUGUAGAGGUGAAAUUCGUAGAUAUUGGGAAGAACACCGGUGGCGAAGGCGGCUCACUGGCUCAUUUCUGACGCUCAGGCGCGACAGCGUGGGGAUCAAACAGGAUUAGAUACCCUAGUAGUCC
rnacentral:rRNA from 1 species